CCUACGGGUGGCAGCAGUGAGGAAUAUUGGUCAAUGGGCGCGAGCCUGAACCAGCCAAGUCGCGUGAGGGAAGACGGUCCUAUGGAUUGUAAACUUCUUUUGUCGGGGAGCAAAAGACGCCACGCGUGGCGUUCCGAGAGUACCCGAAGAAAAAGCAUCGGCUAACUCCGUGCCAGCAGCCGCGGUAAUACGGAGGAUGAGAGCGUUAUCCGGAUUUAUUGGGUUUAAAGGGUGCGCAGGGGGAAGAUCAAGUCAGGGGUAAAAUUGAGAGGCUCAACCACUUCGAGCCGUUGAAACUGGUCUUCUUGAGUGAGUGAGAGGUAUGCGGAAUGCGUGGUGGAGCGGUGAAAUGCAGAGAUAUCACGAAGAACUCCGAUUGCGAAGGCAGAAUACCGGAGCUCAACUGACGCUCAUGCACGAAAGUGUGGGUAUCGAACAGGAUUAGAUACCCGAGUAGUC
rnacentral:rRNA from 1 species